GGCCGUUUAGCUUAGCAGUCAAAGCGCCGGACCUUUAUACCACCGCCUCAUUCCCCCCAACCGCAGUGACUUCAGAAAACCCGGAGACCGCAGGUUCAAUUCCUGUAACGGCUA